GCCAGCGUGGCUCAGUGGUGGAGCAUCUAUCUAUGAACCAGAAGGGCACGGUUCGAUUCCCUGUCAGGGCA
rnacentral:tRNA from 1 species